rnacentral:rRNA from 1 species
UACGGAGGGGGCUAGCGUUGUUCGGAAUUACUGGGCGUAAAGGGCACGUAGGCGGCGCAGCAAGUUAGAUGUGAAAGACCUGGGCUCAACCGAGGAAUUGCAUUUAGUACUGCUGUGCUAGAGUCCGAGAGAGGUGAGUGGAAUUCCCAGUGUAGAGGUGAAAUUCGUAGAUAUUGGGAAGAACACCAGUGGCGAAGGCGGCUCACUGGCUCGGUACUGACGCUGAGGUGCGAAAGCGUGGGGAGCAAAC